GGCGAUGAAUGUCAGUGGUUGGCCCCGGCCCGCUGACUGGCAACCCUGCUCUGCGGUGGGGUGCCCCGGGGAUAAGCCAGGCGGCGUGAGCAGCACGCCGCAAGCGCGGACA
rnacentral:ncRNA from 1 species